rnacentral:lncRNA from 1 species
ACACCAAAUAAAAACAAACACACUAAAUGAACUUAAGUAUUUUGAGUUUGUUUCAAUUCCCACUGGUGCUUUAUCAAGUCAAUUUGCUGGGCAUUGUGCAUAUAUGGCCUUUGAAGUGCAGUAUAUCAUUGAAUGAGCCUUUCAUUGUAACGUCCAUCCUUUUCUAAUGGCUCGUGUUGCACGGGCUCUUCGGUGGCGUCAUGAGCACAAUAUAUUUAUGUUUUGGAAUUGUUCAUCGUGUCUGGCUCAUAUUCAUCAACGGCAUCAUAAUCAUACUCAUCUUCCACAAUCAUGUUGUGA